GCAGCAGCCUGGUGUGACAAGUGGGCGACGCCGGGGGCAGGGAGUGGGGGUCCUCCGCCCGCUCCGGGGACCUUGUCGCCCACCGUGCGCAGAGCAACUUUUAACCGGCAGCCCCGCACCUGUCUCAGAGAGUCCCCAUCGCUCCCCACCAACCACCAUGGGAAAAUUCUAGAAGAAUACGCUCUCAGAAUCUACGUGCGCAUCAUUUUCCUCCUCGCUCCAGAGGAAGGAACCAGAAAAGAGGGCAAAGCGGUGUAGUGUUCAGCCUCAAGGCAUCUCGUUGAUUCUUAGGGUUAGAAGAAUUGCACUAACAGGAGUCUGCAACCUCUCUGCCCUGCUGAUGCACCCAGGCAGGGCUCACUGAUUUGCAGGAGUACAUGACCACAGAUCAGAGCCACUGCAGGCUGCACAGAUACCUGACUGGGCGCUCAGGAAGACUCAGGCAGAGAUGGGGAGUCGGCCUGCAAGCUGGGAUGCUAGAGCUCAUAUGCAGUUCUCCAUUUAGCUAGGAGG
rnacentral:lncRNA from 1 species